AAAUCUUAGUUCUCUCUCCUCCUCCACCUGAAGCAUUUCUAUAUUUCUAUCCUCCAAAUCACUAAUUCUGCCCUCCAUAACCACACUGGUCAGAGAGUCC